UCAAUGCUCCAGGAAUGACUUCCGUACGUCCUCUCCAUCUCUGUGUGCACAGCAUAUUAGAUACUUGCAUGAUGUAUUUGGAGCCUGCUAAGUUCGUCGCAAAGCUGAGCGAACUGAAAACCGAUGGAAGCUCCUGCUAUUCAAGUGCAAUCUCGGUGCUGGGUACUUCUCCAACUCAGGAAGUUUUGAGAAACUGCAAGAAGACGCCUUCACUUAUGCCUUCAUCCUCAAGUUAGUGGCCCUUUUUCAGGGAAUUUCUGAAGCAGC